CGGGAGGUGGCGUAGUCUGGUUUAACGCGCAUGGUUUGGGACCAUGAGAGCGGGGGUUCAAAUCCCCCCCUCCCGACCA
rnacentral:tRNA from 1 species